rnacentral:rRNA from 1 species
CCUACGGGUGGCAGCAGUGGGGAAUAUUGGACAAUGGGCGAAAGCCUGAUCCAGCCAUGCCGCGUGUGUGAAGAAGGCCUUCGGGUUGUAAAGCACUUUCAGUGGGGAAGAAAGCCUUGGGGCUAAUACCCUCGAGGAAGGACAUCACCCACAGAAGAAGCACCGGCUAACUCCGUGCCAGCAGCCGCGGUAAUACGGAGGGUGCGAGCGUUAAUCGGAAUUACUGGGCGUAAAGCGCGCGUAGGCGGUCUGAUAAGCCGGUUGGGAAAGCCCCGGGCUCAACCUGGGAACGGCAUCCGGAACUGUCAGGCUAGAGUGCAGGAGAGGAAGGUAGAAUUCCCGGUGUAGCGGUGAAAGGCGUAGAGAUCGGGAGGAAUACCAGUGGCGAAGGCGGCCUUCUGGACUGACACUGACGCUGAGGUGCGAAAGCGUGGGUAGCAAACAGGAUUAGAUACCCUAGUAGUC